AAUGAACGCUGGCGGCAUGCCUAACACAUGCAAGUCGAACGAGACCUUCGGGUCUAGUGGCGCACGGGUGCGUAACGCGUGGGAAUCUGCCCUUGGGUUCGGAAUAACAGUUAGAAAUGACUGCUAAUACCGAAUGAUGUCGUAAGACCAAAGAUUUAUCGCCCAGGGAUGAGCUCGCGUAGGAUUAGCUAGUUGGUGUGGUAAAAGCGCACCAAGGCGACGAUCCUUAGCUGGUCUGAGAGGAUGAUCAGCCACACUGGGACUGAGACACGGCCCAGACUCCUACGGGAGGCAGCAGUGGGGAAUAUUGGACAAUGGGCGAAAGCCUGAUCCAGCAAUGCCGCGUGAGUGAUGAAGGCCUUAGGGUUGUAAAGCUCUUUUACCCGGGAUGAUAAUGACAGUACCGGGAGAAUAAGCUCCGGCUAACUCCGUGCCAGCAGCCGCGGUAAU
rnacentral:rRNA from 1 species